AGGCGCCGUAAACAAAGCUGACCCGUUGCGGACCCCGGAGUAGGGUGGGGCCAACGCCUCCCCCUCCCCAAAUCUCCCCCUUCCCCUUCCUCCUCCUCCUCCUCCUCCUCCUGAUGGCCCCCCGGCCUGACCCGCCCGCAGACUCCCUGGUCAAGCGGAAGAGGCCUGCGGACCCCAAGACGGCCGGAGACCCCCUGGAAGGCGCCCCCGGACCCCCCGCCCCCAAAGAGAAGACCCCCAGGAAGAGGCUCCGGUGAGCGAGGUUGGCGUUCGAAGCUGUGGGAAUCGAGUCCAGGCGCGGCCUUGGCGUCACCCAGAAAGGAGGGCCCAGUCCAGCCUAGUUGGGCCUGGUCCGGCCAGUCUGCUCCAGUCCGGCCCAGUCCGGCCCAGUCUGGACCAGUGCGGCCCGGCCUGCCCCAGUCAGGCCCGGCCUAGUCAGCCUGGUCCGGCCAGUGUGCCCCAGUCCUGCCCAGUCUGGACAAGUGCGGCCCAGCCUAGUCAGCCUGGUCCGGCCAGUGUGCCCCAGUCCUGCCCAGUCUGGACCAGUGUGGCCCAGUCUGUGUGGGAAGGACCCGACUCCUGACCUGGAUGUAGCAAACCGGUGGCCUCAGCUCGCCGAGCAGUGUUAAAAGCUGACACCAAUUGUGCAAUGUAUUUGAGGUUUCUCUCUGAUCCAGAAACGUCACGUAAGUACUCUUCCCGUCAUCUCUGGGUGAACACUGGCUUUCAGAGUGCAAAGCUUUAAGAGUCUUUUAUAUAAAAUGUUUAAUCACCCUCGAACUCAGUGCAAAAAAAAGAAAAAAAAAUGUAUAUCUGUACAAAGGUGGGGUUUUUUUAAAGUUAUACUAACUUAUAUUUCUAUUUAUGUUGGAAUCCCGGAGAACGGUGGGAACGUUCCUAGUUCAGUUAUUUGGGUUAUGCCAAAGGAUGCUAUUACCUGCUUCUGUUUAUUUACAAAAUGUAAAUUUAUUUUUAUAGUGGGGGAUUUUUUUUGUUGUCGUCGUUUUGUUUCUGCAUUCGCCUGAUGUAGCUGUGACUCCAACGUUUUGAAGGUUGUUUGUUUUUUACUUGAAGACAGUUCUCUCCCCAGGCACUCCUUGUGUUCAUCCGUUCCCCCUCUCUGCUGUCGCAAUAACGCCACAAAUUUCAAAUAAAAAAAGUCCAAAAAUA